GACCCCAAGAAACCAAAGGGCAAGAUCUCUGCUUAUGCCUUCUUUGGGCAGACGUGCAGAGAAGAACAUAAGAAGAAAAACCCAGAAGUCCCUGUCAAUUUUGCAGAAUUUUCCACGAAGUGCUCUGAGAGGUGGAAGACAAUGUCUGGGAAAGAAAAGUCUAAAUUUGAUGAAACGGCCAAGGUGGAUAAAGAACGCUAUGAUCGGAAAAUGAAGGAUUAUGGACCAGCUAAAAGAGGCAAGAAGGAGAAGGAUCCUAAUGCCCCCAAAGGCCACCAUCUGGGUUCUUCCUAUUCUGUUCAGAAUUCCGCCCCAAGAUCAAAUCCACAAACCUUGGCAUCUCUAUUGGAGAUGUGGCAAAAAAGCUGGGUGAGAUGUAGAAUAACUUAAAUGACAGUGAAAAGCAGCCUUACAUCACUAAGGCGGCAAAACUGAAGGAGAAGUAUGUGAGAAGGAUGUUGCUGACUAUAAGUCUACAGGAAAGUUUGAUAGUGCAGAGUCCUGCUAAAGUUGCCUGGAAAGAAGUGGAAGAGGAAGAUGAAGAAACAAGGAGGAAGAAGAGGAGGAGGAGGAA
rnacentral:lncRNA from 1 species